UUGGUCAUUUAGAGGAAGUAAAAGUCGUAACAAGGUCUCCGUUGGUGAACCAGCGGAGGGAUCAUUACCGAGUUUUCAACUCCCAAACCCCUGUGAACAUACCUUAUGUUGCCUCGGCGGAUCAGCCCGCGCCCCGUAAAAAGGGACGGCCCGCCGCAGGAACCCUAAACUCUGUUUUUAGUGGAACUUCUGAGUAUAAAAAACAAAUAAAUCAAAACUUUCAACAACGGAUCUCUUGGUUCUGGCAUCGAUGAAGAACGCAGCAAAAUGCGAUAAGUAAUGUGAAUUGCAGAAUUCAGUGAAUCAUCGAAUCUUUGAACGCACAUUGCGCCCGCCAGUAUUCUGGCGGGCAUGCCUGUUCGAGCGUCAUUUCAACCCUCAAGCCCAGCUUGGUGUUGGGAGCUGCAGUCCUGCUGCACUCCCCAAAUACAUUGGCGGUCACGUCGAGCUUCCAUAGCGUAGUAAUUUACACAUCGUUACUGGUAAUCGUCGCGGCCACGCCGUUAAACCCCAACUUCUGAAUGUUGACCUCGGAUCAGGUAGGAAUACCCGCUGAACUUAAGCAUAUCAAUAAGCGGAGGAA
rnacentral:rRNA from 1 species